CCUAUUCAACUCAGUGCAUAACACUGACUAUUGGCUAUGUUGACAGGGGCUGAUGGGAUCUGGAAUUCACCAUCUGGAGGUGAGUCACAAGCUCGCCAGCUCUACAAUAGGCCCAGGGCUGUGUCCCACGUAAAUGGAUAAUACAUUUUCUGGGGAGCACAGCCGUAGCUCAGUCGUGGCCGUAAAUAUGUCCUGCUGCCCUGGAAUGAGCCAUAUCUUAUAUGGUAAAACAAAUGAUGGCAGAGAGAUGUAUUUAGGCCACGAGCCCAGCUCUCUAGUCCUCCAAGUAAACAUUUUACUUUUCUCUCCUUCCAGUCCGCAACCAAAAUAGGAGAGCUCUGUCUAAAAUUAACUAAGGCUCUUUCAUCUUCAAGACGUUUAGAUUUGUAAUUUCAAGCGAGGCACAGAGAGAGAGGGGGUGGUGGUUCUUUUUCUUGCAACAAACUCCCAAGCAUUUCUGCCCUUAACCAGAUCAACAGGAGGCUUCACAAGUGGAAAAUUGUUUUGUUUUGUUUUUAAUCUCUGUCUAUCCUCUUUUCUAUAAUUUUCAGAUUACACUGGCCCAAGGUUUUGUUUGUUGGCGUUUGCAAGAAGCACCGUUGCAACCGUCUGGCCAUCUAUUAAUACGCAAGGCAUCAGCAAGAGCUCCCUACGGUGUGAUGUUCUGAGCGAACUUUGAUGGGGA